UCGGCAAUGGGCGAAAGCCUGACCGAGCGACGCCGCGUGUGGGAUGAAGGCCCUCGGGUUGUAAACCACUGUCAACGGGGAGGAAAUACAGAAGGGCUAUCCCUUUUGUUUGACCUAUCUGUGGAGGAAGUACGGGCUAAGUUCGUGCCAGCAGCCGCGGUAAGACGAACCGUACAAACGUUAUUCGGAAUUACUGGGCUUAAAGGGUGCGUAGGCGGCGCGGACAGUUGGGUGUGAAAGCCCUCGGCUCAACCGAGGAAUUGCGCUCAAAACUACCGUGCUCGAGGGAGACAGAGGUAAGCGGAACUCAAGGUGGAGCGGUGAAAUGCGUAGAUAUGUGGAAGAACACCAGUGGUGAAGACGGUUUUCUGGGCUGUAACUGACGCUGAGGCGCGAAAGCAUGGGGAGCAAACAGGAUUAGAUACCCUGGUAGUCCAUGCCUUAAACGAUGCAUACUAGGUGUAGGAGGGCUCAACCCUUUCUGUACCGGAGCUAACGCAUUAAGUAUGCCGCCUGGGGAGUACGCUCGCAAGGGUGAAACUCAAAAGA
rnacentral:rRNA from 1 species